UACGUAGGGGGCAAGCGUUGUCCGGAUUUAUUGGGCGUAAAGAGCGUGUAGGCGGCCAGAUAGGUCAGCUGUGAAAACUCGAGGCUCAACCUCGAGACGUCGGUUGAAACCGUAAGGCUAGAGUCCGGAAGAGGAGAGUGGAAUUCCCGGUGUAGCGGUGAAAUGCGCAGAUAUCGGGAAGAACACCCGUGGCGAAGGCGGCUCUCUGGGACGGUACUGACGCUGAGACGCGAAAGCGUGGGGAGCGAACAGG
rnacentral:rRNA from 1 species